GAGGGGAGGAAGAGGGAACUUGGAUUGACAUGUAAAACAAGCUUGUUUCUAAUUUAAACUUUAAAAGUGGGGGAAAGAAUCUUAGGACACAGUCCUUGCCACUAGACACCAACUUCUAAAAGAAGAAUUGCCAUCUUGAGUGAGAAACAGCUUCAGAGAUUGUACCUGCAGGUGAGUCCAGAAAGGGUCAUAAGGGCCCCCUAAGAGUCUGUAGGACUGUUCCAAGACAAAGAAGUAGAUUCAGCACACAAGGACCAUAAAAUCUCGGAAUAAUAUCUCCCAUUCACACAGAAAGAGUGGGGGAAGAACAGAGGAGGUGAGAGAUUACUGAGAGAUAGAGGAAUGGAGUACAUGAGAGACAGACAGAGACUGUUCACAUGUUGGCCAGAGUGAACACAAGGACACUGACAUCAAAAAUGUAAAAGCAGGUACAUAGAGAGAACAGGGUUGUUUGUUUGUCCUUGUUUCAUAUUUUUGUUUUAUUAAUAAGUUCUCUUAUUUACUCUUCCCUACACCCUUUCUUACUUCCCCUCCACCAUUUCUACCUCCCUUCUGAACAAAUCCUUCUCAUAUUCAUGACUUCUUGUCUUGUUUUGUGUGCUCCAACAUUUAUCUAGGGCUGUCUCUUUAUGAGCACAGGUUCAGAACUCUCUGUCAGAGUCCAGUGAGAUCACUAAUGAAUACAAAACUGGAUACUAUGACUUCCUUUCUCCAGGAAUUUGUUAGUUGCCAAUAGAACAACAGUAAGUGAUAGGGCCCCAUGAGACCUUUCCCCAUCUAUAGGUGACUGUUAGGAGUGCCCAACAUGUGUGGGCCCAGUGCCAGCAGGUGCCGUUGCUGUUACUUCAAGAUUGCCAUAGCCAUGUCAUUCUUAAAUGAUGACAUUUCAAAUCCCUUCUCCAUAUCUUCCAGCUCUUCCACACCUCACUGCCCAUCUUCCGCAAUGUCCAUCGAGCCUUCAAAGGUUGAUAUAAAUGUCUUGUUUAGGGCUGAGCUUUCAGCCAUCAUUUAUUUUCAGUAUCUUGUGCAUCUAUGGGUCUCUGCAUUCACCUCCACUCACUUCAAGAAGAGGCUUCUCUAUAAGACGGAGAGUAGCCUUUAUCUGUGAUAUAAGCACACAUAUUUAAAAAGCAGUUUGAUACUAUAUUCAGCUAAGCAGCAGUCAGUAUUAGCUCUUUCCUUACACCCCCACACCCCCAAAGGCCAGGGUCUUAAAUAUUCCUUAGUGGGACUAGUUACAUAAUUUACAGAGAACAGUACAAAAUGAAAAUCCAGAGCUCCUUGUUCAAAACUCUAUUAAAAUAAUUUUCAUGACUGCAUCAACAGAGCAUGAAACGCAAAACAGAGAGGACCCCACGUGAUUGCACAAGCCAUAUGCCCAUGAGGCCAAUGCUACUUCCCAGUCAAGUCAGUCAGGAGCCUUCAGAGGAGCAGGGAAACAGCUGUAUUGCUCUCUUUGGGCUGAAUUAUACAUAGCUGAGUGAUACACACUCUAUUAUGUACUAAGUACCAGGUACUGAGUACUAUGUACUUAUAUAUCUUGUAGUAUAUACUGUAGUCUAUGAAGCCUAUAAACUAGCAAGCAGUACUCUUUACUCACAAAUCUAAAAGCAAGGAAGCCUGAGAUCAAGUGCUAUCACAGUUGAGUUCUAAGGAUAAGCCCCUUCUAGGUUGCAGACCACCAACUUCUUCUCUCCUACUCUUAUGUGGUGGAAAGAGUUGUGUUUGUGGGUUUCCUAUAUAAGGACACUAAUCCCAUUCACAGUGGAUUCAACUUCAUGAGUUAAUCACCACGCAAAAGCCCCCAUUUCUAAUAUCACAAUACUGGAGUGAGAAUUUCAAGCCAUAAAUUGGGGGAGAGCAGGUCACAAACAUUCUGUCCAUAACAGCACCCCUCACUUGCUUGCUCCCAAUUCAUAAUCUUUAUCCUAAAAGCAUAAGAAGAUAUAUCUCUUUUAAAUGUGAACAAUAAAAUAUUCAAGACCCAAGUCCUUACAGGAACAUCUGUGAAAAGAGGAAAAGAAUCAAACCGCAUAUCAAGAGAUAACAAAGGCACAGCAGAAAAAUAAGACAAAUGAAAUGGAUUAUGCCAUGAUGCAAAAUGAUGUUAAAAAGAAAAUAAGAAAACCAGACAGUUAUAAAGAGUGACUUAAACCAGUCAUGGCAGAGUUCUGAAAUGCUAUGGCUAACAAGGGGCCAUGAAUGGAGCUUUCAGAUCUUAAAAAAGAAUUAGAAAAUAAAGGGGAAGAAAGUUCCAGAAACAAAGACUCAGACACAAUAGCAAAUAGACCCCAUGUCAAAGCAUGGUGAGGGAAAGAAAGGGUGUGGGAACAUAAUGAAUCAGACAGAAAGAAAAGACUUCUCUAAAAAAGCAGAUUUCAGAAUAUCACUUGACAACAAAACCCACGCCGCUUAGUUCUCUGCUUUAUUUGUUGAAGUUUGAUUAAUCUUAUCCAAAGAGGUUACAGUUAAUUAAUUUUUUUAAAAUGAAGUUUCAAAUACAUAGUCCUGAAACCAAUUUUGUACCCAUAUUCUUCCCAAUUCAUUUGAUAAUUUGAAAACAUUAACAAAAACAUUUUUAAUCUGUUUUUCAAAGGGAACAUCUGUGCGUUAUUGUUCAUGACAGUGGCUUUGUUAUAGUAAAUGAAACAUCUGGAGAGACUUGAUUACUUGUUGACAGAAACUCCAAUGCAAAACAUAGGUGAAUGAUAAUUUAUUCUCACUGGGCUCAAAUGAAUAAGUGUAACCAAUGAGGUCAACAUAAGCUAAUAUGUGGGGGCCACAAAAUUGGGUCUUUAUUUUUCUCAACCAUUCCUUGUGAUGAGCCUGUAUCUGUAGCCAAUUUUGUUUAUCAUCCAACUUUAAAGUACAAGAAUAAAGAUCUUCUAGUUUGUGUUUGUUCUUCUGCAUAUUAAGUGUGGCCCAUUUAGUCUUGUGCUUAGGUUGACACUCUCCUAGCAACAACAGCAACAAAAUAAAUGCCAACAAUCCAGAUCAUUUGAGCCCAUGUUGAUAGCAGUUUUCUUUUAAUGUUGAACUCCAGCUCAUAUGAUUAGUAUUGUUACAGUAACUCCCUGUACCCACAAUUUUGGUUUUGGCAGUUUUGAUCACCAUGAUCCAAAAAUAUUUGGUGGAAAAUUACAUGUUGAGAGAGAGAAUAGAUGCUGAUUUUAUUACAGUGUAUUAUAAUACUCUAUUGUAAUAUCCUUUUAACAUGAUAUAUUGUAAUUCUUCUAUUUUAUUACUAAUUGUUACUGUGACUCUCUCACUGUGCCAAAUUGUCAAAUCAAUUUUAUCAUAGUCUGUAUGUAUAGAAAAAGUUCAUAGUGUAUGUAAUCUUUGAUACAAUGUAUAGUUUCAGGCAUCCACCGGGAUUGAAAAUACAACUCUUGGCCAGGCAGUGGUGGCUCACACCUUUGAUCACAGCACUCAGGAGGCAGAGGCAGGCAGAUCUCUGUGAGUUCAAGGCCAGUCUGGUCUACAAAGUGAGUUCCAGGACAGCCAGGGAUACAGAAAGAAACUCUGUCUCAAAAAAAGCAAAAAAGAAGGACAAGAAAAGAAAAUACAACUCUGAUGGAUAGGAGAGAUGUCAUUAGACAGUAUUGUUAUUUUCCAAAAUAGACAUUGUUGGAACUAUGAAGAUACAUGGCUGAACAAGUGGCUUCUGGGAACUUGCUGGUCAUUCAAACUUUAACAUAAUGUAAUUUCAGGUGAAGGUUCUGACAGAAUUAGACCUGCAUUAUGGAAGUUAAAUCUAAGUGUGGCAGGACACUUAGAUUUAGACAAAGGUUGUUUGUUUAGUUAGAAGGACAAAGGUUGUUUCCUCCUCUAUGAUAGAUAGGAGAGAACAAUCCUGGACAUUAAGGAUUUUAAGAAAGUUUCUUUUGUAAAAAGAAAUGUUUCCUGGAUGGAGACUGCUCCUUAUUCAGUAGGAUAUUUGUUAUAUAUACAUUCAAUGACUGAAACACUUGGAGACAUUUUGUAACCAUGGUGGGGCAAGCACUGUUACCUAGACAACACUUUGAAGAGGGCAGAGUAAGAGGAUGAAAGACCUGAGUCCCUGAUUCUAGGGUGGAUGCACUGAACCAAUCCUGAAACAACCAAUCUCUGGAUUCUUGCUGCAUUAAAUCAGAAAUCUCCUUAAUGUUGGAGCUAUUGUAGUUAGUUAAGUUAAAUGCAUAUAAAAAGCACUAAAAUUAAUACAGCAAGUGAGUGCUCUCAUUUUUAAAUAUUUCAAUAGAAUUAAACCUCAAUUUACUCUUACUGUGCCCCAUAAGAUGUAUGAUAAUAAGCUGUCACUUGAGAAAGUGGCUCCUUGCCAAACAUGAACUACUGCUUGUCAUUAUAUCUUCUUCCUCGUCCAUAAAGUGGGCCUGGUUUCUGGUUUUCUCCUCACUAAGUUGAUGGUGUUUAUGAUGACUAGAAACCUAGCUGAUAUGUGAGAAUAUUUUUUGAUACUUGUUUAUCUAUGUUGUGUGUGCCUGAGUGUAUGUAUGCACAUUAUCGGCAUGCAGAAGCCCGAUGACUUCAGAAGAAGUCAUUAGAUUCUCUAUAACUGGAGUUACAGACUGUUGUAAGUCACCAUGUGGGUGCUGGGAAUCGCACUUGGAUUUUCUGCAAGAACAAGUGCGCUUAACUGCUGAGCCUUCUCUCCAGCACCCCCAACCCUUUCUAGCAGCAUCUUGCCUUGCCAGUGAAUUUGUGUUAUUGGCCACACCCCUUUGGGCCUAGCUUCAGGUGCGGACAUGACUGGAAAGCAGAGAAAAGUAGUAUGGGCCAGCACUCCCUCUUGGGUCACACAGAGCGCAUCAGAAGGGCAGAGUCUGGAUCUUCUGGAGCAGGAAAGCCUCCACAGCUCUUUACUAUUUUCUAUGUAAAUUGUUCCCCAAUAAAACACCCAUUUAUCAUUUAUCCUGGGUCUAGUGAAGUCAUUAAUACCCCUCUUUUAUACCACCACCCCAGAAAAGAUUUCCUAAAUGAAUCUUUUCCAUAUGAGCAUUGCUGUGUUGUAAUUUAUGGGCAUGCUAAAAAAGUAAAGGACUAAGUGAUAGGCAAUUCACCUGCAGAGUCCUUGAGAGGCUGCAUAACAAUCUCAUCAUCACACAUGUGAUCACCACACAUGUAAUAGCCAUUUGACACACUGGUGGGCAUAGAGUGACUCCUGUGCUUUUGUGCUUGUCCCCUACAUUGGACUUGGUUUGAUGGUGACAUCCCAAUGAGAUCAGGGAGCCCAAAGCAGAGGUGAACACUCAGUGAGGUUCCACGCAACCCAGCCCAGAUUUAAAAGCAGUGAACAAUUACAGGAGAACAGAUUAAUAUUUAAUGAAGAUGUAAAUGAGAGUCAAUACUGAGUUGCUUAGUGAAAUCUAUUCCAGCAAGAGAAAACUGCAGUGGUCUUUAGAAGGCAGGGGAAGCAUUUUUCUUAUUAGCCAUUGUCUUUAACUUCUCCCCAGCUAUAGCUGAGGCCUGGGCUCAGAUUCCCCAAGCAGCUGACAGAUGCAGCAAGAGUAAAAUCAAUCUUGUAACCCUCCCAGCCAUUUGAUUCCUAAUUUCCUUCUUUGUAUGCCCUUCUUCACUGUUCAGACUAUGCUCUUGGAAACCAACUGCAUACAGGGUUUCUGACAUCAGACUCACCUAUUGCCAACAUUCUGUCUGUCCCUCUGUCAGCUGAGUGUCUGCAGUGAUGAGAAAGGCACGAUAACUCCAAGGCAAUUCAUCACCUCUGCAACUGAGGGAGAGCUUCUGAGCUCAGUUGUGUCAGAGGAAGCUGCCAAUGCCUCUGUCAGAGCUGGGGAGUGGGGCUGAAGGUGCUGGUCCAUGAAAUCACACAGGAGAAAGGGAGAAGCUGCCAGAAGCAGUAGACCACGGGGUGUAAGUGAAGAAUGAUUGUUGCUGGCAUGGACCACUCAACCCAAAAGGGACCAAGUGAUGCCAUGGGGCUUUCUCUGUGGUCUGUUUACUCCUGAGCAUCCACCCAGCAGAAGCAAUAAUAGUGCUGAGGGCUGGAAGCAAAACAGUUUCCAAUGAAAAGGGUUCACCUAGGCAACAGUCCCUCCUCCCCACCAAAUAGGGAUGGAAAGAUGAGAAGCCGAUGCCAAGGGCUUCUUUUCUGUUUUCCUAUACUGCUCUAGAGGAGAGCAGAUUCUUGAUGAACCAGAGGGACAAGGAUACACUGGACUUCCUAGUGCACUAGUCUACUUCUACUGCCUUCCAGCUGUCUGUGCAAACUGGUGAUGCAUUCUGACGGGGUCUGAAAUCCAUUCCCACAACAAGCAAGCCAAAGUAUGAGCAACAUGAGGCCAAGGCUACUGGAGCCCUUCAGGAGUGAUGUUUGGCCCCAUAUGAUCAUGAUCCUGUUAUGCCCUGUUGCAGAAUCCAACAUUGCCUGUCCCAGCAGCACCAAAGGGGAAUCCCAAGGGCUGAAGCUACAUUGGAGAACACACAUUGUUGUUCAUGUAUCUAUCCCUGCUCCAUAAUGCUCAUGGUGGAGAAGAGUGGUAACAAGGCUGCUCAGUCAUUCUGUCAUCACUUCUGUUGCUGUGCUGUUGGCAAGCUAACUAGCUGGCUUUCUGUCUUGUCCUAUUUUAUUUGUGAAGACUGAUUUUAGGGCCUCCAGAACGCUCAUUCCCCCACACUGAUUUUUUUCUUUCUCAAAACAGACCAGUGAAGGCUCAAGAAAGCUAUGUGUCACAGAAGAUGAAAUGCCCCCACCCAGUGUUAGAAGCAGACACUGCUCUAAGUGUUUCAAACAGAGGGUACCAAUAACAAAAGAAGUCUAGAUGGGGCCUUGGAGAAGGAAAGACCAACAAGAAAACCUGUAAGGCAACACAGAUUGACCACAGCGGGAAGUUCUACUACCUUUAGGUGUCUGUGCUUCUACAUGCUGCUGCAUCCGUACAGUAGCUCUGAAAUCACAAGAAUACGAUGACUGUAGAAGGAAGAAACAGAACUCGAGAUGCUUAUAUCCAUCAUUCUACAUGCAUAUCAACCCUGGAUACCUACAAUGAUCACUCAGUAGGAUAAAGUUAACUCACAUAGGCUACUUCUUAAAAACACAUGGUCUUAUCUUACCAGAGUACGCCUGGCAUGUCCUGUUUUCCCAGUCUCAACAUGGCAUCCUUUUGUGGUGCCUCUUUGCCUACCUUUCCCAGAAUUAUCUUCGUCUCCUAACCCCAUCUAUCUUCCUGCCUCUCCUAGAUAUUGGCCAAACAAUGUUUUAUUCAUCAACCAAUAAGAGAAACAUAUAUACAGAAGGACAUCCCCAUCACACAUAGGCUACUUCUUAACAAUUAUAUUCAAAGGAAACUGUGGUUGGACAUAGAUCUUUGGGAACUGACCGGUAUUUUGACUUUAUAUUCGUCUGUGUUGAGGACUGCGCUUCGAGCAAUCUGAGAGCAACUUGAGUUUCGAAACAGCAAAGUGACCAGAGCAGAUAUUUGCUUCAAAGCCUCCUCUCUUGUGAUGGUGAUGAGCAGGAGAAGCAGACCUGGAGACCAGAAUGUGAGGGCAAGGAGUAUUGGGGAGGUAAUGCCAAGAAGACUGACAGGGGCGAGAAGAGGAGGAAAGCCAGCAUGGUGUGCAACAUUAAGCAAGUUGACACCAUGGGAAACCUACUCAGUUUCAUUGGGAACAGAGAAGAAUGUACCUUAGAAAUACAUCCUACAAGUAUGUGAAGAUAUUCGACAACUUCCAUCAUUGAGUCUUUGACAUUAUUGACAAAACGAUGUACAGAUUAACCAAAGAAAGUCUAAAGACUUUCACAGAUACUGCAAGAGUGAUUAAUUGAAGGUGAACUGGAUACCUGGCCAUAGAUACAGGUGGAGCUAAACAGCACCUGCUAAAACAAUAUCCCUAUUGCUUUGGAAACAGCCAAGGCUCAGUAUACACCAGAUUUGGCUAUUCUAAUGAGGAUUUCAUCAAAACUCCCAACAGUUUUAUUUACUCUUCUCUUCAUUAUCUUAGUGACCACACUACUUCUUUUCACAACCAUAGCGAGGGUGGCAAUCCAGUGUUUUACAUGAACAUGGACUUCCAUCCAUUAUUCAAUUUUAGCAGCAACAUUUAUUGUCAAAUGAUUCAUGAGAACACUGUGUAACUGGGUCAAAGUACAAUGAACUUGGUGGGGAUGGGAAAGGCACAGACUCUUUCCUGCUGCUAAAGAGGAAAUGGGGAAGGGUCAUCAUCUACAUCAAAGUAUUCCAUUGUUUCAGCUACUAUGGAAUCUGGAAUCAAGGACUUUGAUAUUGUCUAUGUAUCCAGACCACUUGGAACGCUUUCCAGCUGCAGCAUUGGGACCUUAAUAAACGAACCAUAUUAUGUUUAUACUUCACUGUUUAAGUAAUGCUAUUUCACUCUGUGUAAAGCCACUUAAAACACCAGUGGAAACACAUGCAUGGACCAUGAAACAACUUUAAAUGGAUAAUCAAUUUUUAUCACAUAUUGGAGGUUAGACUGGUAUAUCUGAGUGAAUUAUGAAAGUCUGUAUGUGAUUCUAGCUGGGAGUGGUUGCAUACCAAAUCUUUGUCUUUGCUACAAAUUGGUCUGUAGUGAGAUAAUUGGGAGAUUCCAAAUCUAACACUUUGUUCUUUAAAAACACAAUAUAUUUUAUUUGGACAUACAUGUGAAGGAUUUUAUUAGGCUUACUAGGACAACCUUAAUUCUUUAGUAUAGCAAUUCUCUCCUAAGAUGGAAGAUAUGUGAUUGACAUAUUUCUAAGGCACUGAAAAGUUAUGAGCAGCAUGAUCAUGAGCUAAACUGUAUGGGGCAUUCUAAAACAUAUGAGACAUGGUUUUAGAAAAAAAAAAGAACAUGAGCAAUGGUGGUACAUGCCUUUAAUCCCAGCACUCAGGAGGCAGAGAGAGGUGAAUCUCUGCAAGUUUGCAGCCAGCCUAGUCUACACAGUAGUGAAUUUCAAGACAGUCAGAGUUACCUAGUAAGACCCUGUCUCAAAAACAAAACAAAAAAAUGAAAAGAAAAAACCACGAGAAACCUGUUUUUGAAACGACUAGUAAGCAUGUGAAACUCAUUAUACCUGAGCACGAUGAAAAGGUGAAUGGAGUCAAGGUAAAUUUGAACCAAUUACUGCAUAACAGAACCUAAAAGUUCAAGGAGAAAUUAGGCAAGUUCAAGUUAAUAUUCAUUAACUAUGGAGGAGUAUUUCAUGGAUGCAAAUUGCCUCAUUCUUACAAAACACUGGCAUCACCUUGGAAGAUAGCAGAGCUUCUUGGGCCACUGACUUGACACAAUAAGUUUUCUUCCAUUAACCAGGGGAUAUUGAAAAUGCCAGAUUACCUUAAAGCCCUGAACUACCAAGAAGCUACCAGCUCUUUCAUCUUCUAUCUUUAAAACAUUUGUUGUCCCCAAAGUGAAUGAUGAAGUGGAGAAGGAACCUUGAAACUGUUACCAUUCCUAUGCUACACACACACAGCACAGUCCCCCCUUUCUCUUUCACACACACACACACACACACACACACACACACACACACACACACACACAUGUGAACUAGCAGUUCCUAAAACACCUUCCAAAAUCAAUAUUAUGCUCUGUUUAUGAGGACCCAGAAUAGUAGAGCUCUAGACCAAACUCGAUUGUUUAAUAAAAUGUCACAUCCAAACACUGAUUCACUGAGUCAGCCUUUUUUCCCUGACUCUAAGACAAACACUAGGUUCAGGAUUAUCAAUCCAACCAACAACUUCUAUUAUCAUUUGGUUUUGUCUUCUAAAACUCAAAAUCCAGUGAAUUUUUACUGAGUGACAGUUCAAGUCAGAUUAUUCCAAUCAAAUUCCCUCCAUUCUAUUUACUAUUUGGCCGUUUGACACUUUCAUAGAGAACCAUGGAUGCAGCACAUGUUCCUAAAACUUAAGCCUGUACAUCAUGACACAUUUAAAUCAAGAGUUCUGAUGCUAUAAAAUAUGACUUUGUGAAUGUGAUCAUUUUAUUCUAUAUUUAUCGAUUUCAUUAAAUCAUGGAUUUUUAAAGUGACAGUCUGACCUGUAACAAAUGGUUAGACAUAUCACAUAUAUUAAUGUUCAACCACUCAUGAGAAAGAACACCCUAACUUUGUUGUAGGACUUCAUUCACACAGACUUUUUCUAACCUCCGAUAUUUUUCCAUAUGUUCAUAAUCCUUUUAGACCCUAUUUCUAUAACUUCUGCCCUCUCCUUUGUGGUUAGCAAUUAAAACCAGCAAACAAUUAGCAUUGUAAAGUCUUUUACGUUCUUGCAUCAGUUCUUACAUUCUCACUCUAAUCUACUAAGAUGGCUCAGUGGCAAACAAUAACACAUGAAUAAAUUCAUUCUUUUGUUCAAAAUCACUAAUUAUCUAAAUGUCUUAUGGUACAGGGAUAGUUGAAGAAAGGUUACAAAUAUUUUAAGCUAUAAUUAGACUGGGAAGCAAAACAUAUAGCACAAUCAUAAAAUUGUAAAAUAUAAUACUAAUAAGAAAAAUAGCAUAAUUUGCACACACAAAUGUAGUAAGGGCACAGAUGAAAUUUCUGUUUCAAGUAAGAAAAAUAAUUUAUAUAUCAUAGUAAUUAGUCCAAUAAAAACAUAUAUUGUAGAUAUAUAUCUAAAUAUGUAGGAAUAUGCACAUACAUGUGUUUAGACAUUCCUAUUUCAGAUUUCAUUAGUAAUCCAGUAUUUUUCUAGUUGUGGUAUCCACUGUCAUUUUAAUUUUUUAAUUCCCUAGUUGGAGUCUGAUAAUAAUAUCCCACGGUAUUAAAAAGUUAUAAAUUAUCAAGAAAUAAAAGAAAAUCCUCCCAAUUAGGGAAAUACCUAAAUGAUCUUUGUCUUUGCCUAAUAUAUAUUAGCAUAAGUAUGAGGCUAAUAUUAUAUAUUAACAUGUGUUUUAUUAUGAUUUUAUAUAUUAUAUAAACCUCAUAUGUAACAGCAGACCAAAACUAAAAAUGCAAAAUUACAGUGUUCUGACCUAAUGUUCUUCAGUCCCAAGUAUCCAAAUCUUGACACACUUAUAACAUUCAUUUGACGAAUAAUAGUAUUUUAGUACACUUGGUAAUGCACAUGUUUUUUAUCUACCAUAAAGAGCUGUGUUUCUUCAAUUGAUUUAUAUACCACCUGGACAAAAUUAUUUUUUAUUAUGGUUUAUUUCAUUUUUCCAGCAUCCUCAACUUUAAAAUACUUGUAAACUGCCAAUGGAACAGUGACAAUGAUGAACAAAGAAUAGCCUUGGUGUUCAAUAUCCAAAGUCCACACUUCUUAAGAGAACUUCCAGUGAUUAAUGCUUUCAAACUAGCAGGGUCAGGUUAAAAAUCAAGCAACAAUCUGUCUUGUACUUCAUCAUACAAAAAAUUCACAGACUGGUUUAAAGUUUCCCCAAAGAGGUAACCAUUUGGGUCUAGAGUUUGCAUAAGGGACUUAUAAAGGAACUUGCCAAACAAUAGAAAAAUGAUCAUUACAUAGUAAUGAGGGGUGUUAAUGAUAUUUUCUAAUCAUAUGACCUCAUUUCCUGAAUUAUACUAUGUCUACAUCCUGAACAAAAAGACACAGAGAGUAUUCUACUCUUUCUAAUUUAAAAAUACUUCUUUAUCAAUUGAAAUGAUAUUCUUCACAUAUCACUCUGUGGAAUAUUGUUUUGAUGACUUCUACUGAAUUUUCUCAGUACUUUUUUGACAUGAAAUUGCAUCAUGUUAAAGCCAACAAUUCACUGAAUGUUUGGGAAACAUCACAAAUGUUUGAGGCUAUGUGCCUAAUGAAUGUAACAUGGACUCAUUUUAUCCCCCUUUAUUGGAAUUGCUUUGAAUUUUAAACAGUUGUUAGCCAUUAACUACACUUUAUACCUAAUUCCGCAUAUGUGUAUAUGUGUUUUAGAUUCCAUGUGUAAAAUUAACUUAUUUGGGAUCAUAUGCAUUUACUGAUUAUUUUUGCAUGGCAACUACUAUUGUUGACUUCCUCAAGAUAGAACAGUUAGUUCUGACCUGAAUGAAACAGAUUAAUUAAACUUCGUAUUCAAAGAUACCUUUGGUGGCUUUCCAAAUCACUCAAGCAAACUUUUGGAGAAUCUUCUCUAAUGAAUCCAUUUCUUUUCCCCUGAUUAGCUUUAAGUCCCACCUAGUCUAACAUUUACAUUGUCAUGAUCUCUUCUUCAAAAUCUGGUAGUAUUAGUUUUUUUUAACAAAUUCUGUAAAGUCAACCAAAAUAAGCAUGCUAAUGACAAAUAUAAGUCAUAACAUGCUUCCUCAAACAUGCAUAUGAGCACACACACAAGAUAGGUAUUUCUUGACUCAAAAACAACAAACCUAUGAGUGUCCUUAUGGUCCCAGCUGAUAUCAGGGAAUAACUUGAGAGGCUGCAAGUCUUAAGUCUUACUUGUGAUGCCAUAAGAGUUUUUGUCAAACUUCCAGUGUCCUUUUAACUCAGAUUGAUUCAUAGUCUUUGAAAAGAGGGGGAAGGGUCAGGUGUUUUAAAUUCCACAAACUGACAUUCCCAUUAAUAAGGUGUAGAUUUACAGAAAAAUUUACAAAGAAACUACAUGUAUAUCUCCCAUACAUCAGUCUACAUGUUCAGAGUCAUGACAUUAAAUUACUCUCUUUAGUGUUUAGGAUAAGGUACAGUGUUUUAAACUGCAUUGCAAAUUAUCCAGUAGAUUAUAAAGCCUUCCAGACAUGUACCACAAAAGUGAAUCAAGUCUCAAUCCCAGAAACAGUAACCGUAUUACCUAUAGCACAAAGUAUGUAUAGCACAUGUAGAAAUGUUUAUCUGGAUAAUCUAAUUAAUUGCUAGAAGCCAGUUCUCAGAAUAUCACCAGCUGGAUCAUGAAAUUGUGCUUGGUGGGUUGCAGUACUUCUCAAGAUACUCAUAACAAAUAGAAGCCCAUUCUCUGUGGACAAGCCUUGGCAAAUAUGCUUUGGAUUUCAAACAGCCAAAAGAAUAGUUCUUAUUCUUCCACUGAACAGUGAAUUUUCUCUACAUUUACAAAGAAUCUCCUACACUUAAAGCUGUGUAGUUUAUGGGGGAAGAGGACAACACACAGCAACCAAGGAGAACACAAAAUCAGAAAGGCCCAAAUGGAAAUGAGAAUUCAGACGCAGCAGAGACAUUGUUUGGCCCAAGAGCUCACGGAUGACUCUGUAAAAAAUUUUUCAGUUUGCUUAUACCUUAAAUGAUGGGUGUGAAUACCUUGGGAGUAGGGAAUGGGCGUUUGGGAACAAAAGUAACAAUACAAGUACAAAAUUAUUGAAUAAUACAGUAUUAUUGGAGCAUGGCAUACAUGAUGGAGCCAGAAAGGAUCACAUAGCUGAGAGCCUACAUAAGGAUCUCAAGAUCAUAGGUUGGAGAAGCAAGUGAGCAAUGGCGACAUAUAAGGUUUUUAUUAUUGUUUUUAAUCUAUUUUAUUAUGGUGAAAUAUAACAGAAAUUCAGGAAAUUACAUCAAUCAUGUUCAGCUAAGGGAAUUAUCAUAAAUGCAUUUAGAAAUAGGAAUAUUACUGGGAAGCCCCCUCCUCAUGUGCCCUCCCAGUCCCAGUGUUAUAAUCUCAAAGGUCACCACUAGACUGAUCUUUGUGAUAAUGAAGCAUGAAUUUCUCAAACAUCAUUUAGUUUUGUUGCUUUAUGAAUUUUGUGGAAGUGCAAUUGUGUAUUAUGAAUUAUCUUGUGCCUGGAUUCUUACAAUGUUGUUUUGUGAGCGUUCCCCGUGUUGUUGUGGAAGCUGUACUUCACCUAUUUUCAUUGCUAUGGAGUGUUCCUUUACACAAAUAAACCAUAUUGAUCCAUGCUGACA